rnacentral:lncRNA from 1 species
AGGAAAUGUGCUGGGUGGGGUUGCCGGGAGAGCUCCUAUUGCUCUGAUAAAAAGGUCUGGACUUGGCUGAUUCAGCUUCCUCACUGGAAGUGCCUCCCAGACAACGCAGCAAGCUUCUCUGCUAGCACCGAGCCCUCGGGGGCGUUACCAUCUACCAUGCCUAGUCCCACCAGACUAUGAGUGUCUUGUUGAUCUUCAACACUCCCAGAGCCAUGCAAGGUCCCUAGCACAUCCUAGGUAUUAUAAAAAUG